GAUGAACGCUAGCUACAGGCUUAACACAUGCAAGUCGAGGGGAAACGACAUCGAAAGCUUGCUUUUGAUGGGCGUCGACCGGCGCACGGGUGAGUAACGCGUAUCCAACCUGCCCAUCACUUGGGAAUAACCUUGCGAAAGUAAGACUAAUACCCAAUGACAUCCCCCGAAGACAUCUGAAUGGGAUUAAAGAUUUAUCGGUGAUGGAUGGGGAUGCGUCUGAUUAGCUUGUUGGCGGGGUAACGGCCCACCAAGGCAACGAUCAGUAGGGGUUCUGAGAGGAAGGUCCCCCACAUUGGAACUGAGACACGGUCCAAACUCCUACGGGAGGCAGCAGUGAGGGAUAUUGGUCAAUGGGCGAGAGCCUGAACCAGCCAAGUAGCGUGCAGGAUGACGGCCCUAUGGGUUGUAAACUGCUUUUAUAAGGGAAUAAAGUGGGUCUCGUGAGACUUUUUGCAUGUACCUUAUGAAUAAGGACCGGCUAAUUCCGUG
rnacentral:rRNA from 1 species